rnacentral:tRNA from 1 species
GCCUGGGUGGCUCAGUUGGUUGAGCGUCCGACUUUGGCUCAGGUCAUGAUCUCACGGUUUGUGGGUUCGAGCCCCACGUCAGGCU